rnacentral:sRNA from 1 species
UUCCGGCUUACGCAUCAUAAAAAUGUGC